AUAUUCCUGAUGUUGAUUCGGAAUCUACUUUCUUGUAACUUGAAUCCAUUGGUAUGGGUCCUACCCUCCAGAGCAGGAGUAAACAAGCUUGUUCCAUUUUCCAUGUGACAGCCCUUGAGUAUUUGAAGAUGGCUAUCAUAUCUCCUCUCAAGUCUUCUCUCAUCCAGGCUCAACAUACCCAGCUCCCUCAACCG